GGCAGCAGUAGGGAAUCUUCCACGAUGGACGAAAGUUUGAUGGAGCAACGCCGCGUGAGUGAAGAAGGGUUUCGGCUCGUAAAGCUCUGUUGGUAGUGAAGAAAGAUAGAGGUAGUAACUGGCCUUUAUUUGACGGUAAUUACUUAGAAAGUCACGGCUAACUACGUGCCAGCAGCCGCGGUAAUACGUAGGUGGCAAGCGUUGUCCGGAUUUAUUGGGCGUAAAGCGAGUGCAGGCGGUUCAAUAAGUCUGAAGUGGAAGCCUUCGGCUCAACCGGAGAAUUGCAUCAGAAACUGUUGAACUUGAGUGCAGAAGAGGAGAGUGGAACUCCAUGUGUAGCGGUGGAAUGCGUAGAUAUAUGGAAGAACACCAGUGGCGAAGGCGGCUCUCUGGUCUGCAACUGACGCUGAGGCUCGAAAGCAUGGGUAGCGAACAGGAUUAGAUACCUGGUAGUCCAUGCCGUAAACGAUGAGUGCUAAGUGUUGGGAGGUUUCCGCCUCUCAGUGCUGCAGCUAACGCAUUAAGCACUCCGCCUGGGGAGUACGACCGCAAGGUUGCAAAUCAAAGGAAUCGACGGA
rnacentral:rRNA from 1 species